GCGGGCGUGGUGGAACUGGUAGACACGCUAGAUUUAGGUUCUAGUGGGUAACCCCCGUGAAGGUUCGAGUCCUUUCGCCCGCA
rnacentral:tRNA from 1 species